UACGAAGGGGGCUAGCGUUGUUCGGAAUCACUGGGCUUAAAGGGCGCGUAGGCGGGCCGUCAAGUCGAGGGUGAAAGCCCCCAGCUCAACUGGGGAAGUGCCUCCGAUACUGGCGGUCUCGAGGGGGAUAGGGGCGUGCGGAACUUCCGGUGGAGCGGUGAAAUGCGUAGAUAUCGGAAGGAACACCGGUGGCGAAAGCGGCGCGCUGGAUCCCUACUGACGCUGAGGCGCGAAAGCCAGGGGAGCGAACGGG
rnacentral:rRNA from 1 species